GACGAACGCUGGCGGCGUGCUUAACACACGCAAGUCGAACGAUGAAGCCGGAGCUUGCUCUGGUGAAUUAGUGGCGAACGGGUGAGUAACACGUGAGUAACCUGCCCUUGACUCUGGGAUAACUGCUAGAAAUGGUAGCUAAUACCGGAUACGACCCUCGGCGGCAUCGCCAGGGGGUGGAAAGAAUUUCGGUCAAGGAUGGACUCGCGGCCUAUCAGCUGGUUGGGGAGGUAACGGCUCACCAAGGCGACGACGGGUAGCCGGCCUGAGAGGGUGACCGGCCACACUGGGACUGAGACACGGCCCAGACUCCUACGGGAGGCAGCAGUGGGGAAUAUUGCACAAUGGGCGCAAGCCUGAUGCAGCAACGCCGCGUGAGGGAUGACGGCCUUCGGGUUGUAAACCUCUUUUAGUAGGGAAGAAGCGAAAGUGACGGUACCUGCAGAAAAAGCACCGGCUAACUACGUGCCAGCCGCCGCGGUAA
rnacentral:rRNA from 1 species